rnacentral:lncRNA from 1 species
AAAAUUUGAAUAAAAAAGGAUAGAAAUUGAAUCCAAAAUCUCAAUUUUUUUUUCAAUUCAGUUCAGAAAAACUAAGACGAUGCCCUAAUCUGUAGAAAUCGAACCUAAAAUUUGGAUCUUUUGAUGAAACUAGGACUUGCAAAAUUUGAGUAACUCUCACAUCUAUAAAAUCCUCAAAAUUUGACUGAGAAAGGAUAAAAAACGGGCCUAAAAAAUAGGGUUUGGCGGGUUUUUUUAACUUGGUUCAGAAAAACUAAGGCGAUACCUUAAUCUGUAGAAAUCGAGCCUGAAAUUUCUAUCUUUUGAUGAAAGUAGGACUUGAAAAAUAUAGGUAACUGUGACACCUACAAAACCCCCAAAAUUUGACUGAGAAAAGGAUAAAAAAUGGACCCAAAAUCUCGAGUUCAACAGAUUUUUAUCAACUCAGUUCAGAAAAUUGAGACGAUGCCCUAAUCCGUAGAAUUUGAUACUGAAAUUUCGGUUCUUUGAUGAAAUUAGGACUUGAAUAACCUGAUUAACACUAACAUGUAAAAGAACCAUAAAAUUUUACUAAUUAAAAACUAAAAUCAAGGCCAAAAUCUCAAUUUCGGCGGAUUUUUGAGACAGUGAAGAACACCUAAAAACAGCUACAAAUUUCAAAUUCCGAUGUGUUUUCGGUUGGAAAUCCCUCUUUUUAUAAUGUGAAAUCAAUUAUUCCAGUCAAUAAAUGACUGAAAAAACCUGAAAAAUGCUUAAAAAGGUGAAAAAAUCGAAUCAAAAUGAAUCAAACAAAAAAUGACGGGUUUCUGCUAAAAAAAAAGGUCCACUGCUUAAAUUAACGAGAUUUAUUAUAUAACAGAUGUUAUAUUAUGUUAUAUAACACAUUUUUAAGGAAAACUGGUCCGGUUAGGCUAAAAACCGGUCGGUUAGGAUGAAAAUCGAGUAGUUUGAGCGGG